CUACCUACGGGAGGCAGCAGUGGGGAAUAUUGCACAAUGGGGGAAACCCUGAUGCAGCAACGCCGCGUGAGUGAAGAAGGUUUUCGGAUUGUAAAGCUCUGUUAGCAGGGAAGAGGAAGGACGGUACCUGCAGAGGAAGCCACGGCUAACUACGUGCCAGCAGCCGCGGUAAUACGUAGGGAGCAAGCGUUAUCCGGAUUUAUUGGGUGUAAAGGGUGCGUAGACGGGAAAUUAAGUUAGUUGUGAAAUCCCUCGGCUCAACUGAGGAACUGCAACUAAAACUGAUUUUCUUGAGUGCAGGAGAG
rnacentral:rRNA from 1 species